AUUGAACGCUGGCGGCAUGCCUUACACAUGCAAGUCGAACGGCAGCAUGGAGAGCUUGCUCUCUGACGGCGAGUGGCGAACGGGUGAGUAAAGCAUCGGAACGUACCGUGUAGUGGGGGAUAACGUAGCGAAAGUUACGCUAAUACCGCAUACGCACUGAGGUGGAAAGCAGGGGAUCGUAAGACCUUGCGCUAUACGAGCGGCCGAUGUCAGAUUAGCUAGUUGGUAGGGUAAAGGCCUACCAAGGCGACGAUCUGUAGCGGGUCUGAGAGGAUGAUCCGCCACACUGGGACUGAGACACGGCCCAGACUCCUACGGGAGGCAGCAGUGGGGAAUUUUGGACAAUGGGGGCAACCCUGAUCCAGCCAUGCCGCGUGAGUGAAGAAGGCCUUCGGGUUGUAAAGCUCUUUCGGCCGGGAAGAAAUCGCACAGGCUAAUACCCUGUGUGGAUGACGGUACCGGCAUAAGAAGCACCGGCUAACUACGUGCCAGCAGCCGCGGUAA
rnacentral:rRNA from 1 species